GUCUACAGCCAUGUUACCCUGAACAGGCUGGAUUUCGUCUGAUCUCGGAAGCUAAGCAGGGCCAGGCCUGGUUAGUACUUGGAUAGGAGACCACCUAGGAAGACCAGGUGCUGUAGGCA
rnacentral:rRNA from 1 species